ensembl:snRNA U6 U6 spliceosomal RNA
GUGCUCACUUCAGCAGCACCUACACAAAAAUUGGAAUGAUACAGAUAUUAGCAAGGCCCCUUCCCAAGAAUGACAUGCAAAUUUAUGAUGUGUUCCAUAUUUUU